UUUUAAGUCCUUCCUUUUUGUCAAGCUGUUGCCCACACUCCAGUCCAGUAGGUGGCGGUAAAUGCACCUUAAGUUGGUUUGCCAUCCGCCAAUAAAAAUCAAAAGAAGAAGAAGAAGAAGAUGUCGGAUGAUUCAGCUUUCUGCCUCAGAUGAUGGAUGUCGAGGAACAAAUUACAGUUACUCUAACAAUUUUACACAGAGUGCUUGCAACUGUCUUCAUAGACGGAAAAGAAAUAUGGAGAAAACUAUUCACAGUUGGAAGUAUCGGAGAACUGAUAGCCUCAGCCAAAACUGAGCUGUCUCAACAAGUAUCUCUUGAUCGAAUACUGAGAUUUGACACAGAUUUUCAAGAAUUCAUUGACACUGAUGUGAAUGCUGGAGUGCGGGAGCUUGACAAAUUUCAAAUACAUUAUAUUGCAAGCAACACCCAGGAUAUAUUAGAAGGAAGUGUUCAACCAUUACAGUGUCAUUCAUCAGAUGUAACUCGGACUGGCACCCCAACUGGAUUGCUAACACUGCUUGAAGAAAAAAACCCUACAAUCCUGAGAGAACACAAAGAGACAAAGAC